CUUACUGCUGCAGUUUUCUAGUCGCAGUGCGGCAAAGCAGACGCAUAGAACCAGGCACAAAGCAGCAUAGAUUUUUUUUUAUUCUUAUCUUUUUCAUACGAAGGGAAUAUUCCUGGUGUUAGCGUAGGAACAGACACAGCUUGGAUGUGUUGGCUUCAGCCUGGCAGCAUUUUCAGCUGAGCAGGGACUGCUCGGAGCUCUGUACCCAAAUUGCCUCUGAGGAAGGACGCCUGAUUUCCCACUUUGUGUACUAAAGGGUUUUUUCUUUAUGCUACGGUGAUGUACCUGCAGCAAUCGGACAAAGGAGGUGGUACUUGUCACUGUCUGUCCAACUGGGGCCUUUUGCAGGUACUCCACGGCCGAAGCUGUGCCAGCAUCCCAGGGUCAGAUAGAUUGGUAAUACAGGUUGCCGCAAUUUCUUACAUCAGUUAGAGCAAAGCUCAAACAAGAAACCAGACUCUCUGACCUAAAUCAGUCCCAGUCCUUCUGGAUACAGGGCAGCAGUCGACUAGCAAUGACACAACCAGCCAUCAAGUGGAGAGUCUCUGGGAUUGCAAUCUGUAUCAGUUGGAGUCUGAGAGAACGAAACCCUUUCGGGUAUCCAGUCGCUUCUCCUUCUAAUACUACAAAUACUACAACUACAACUACUGCUACUACUGCUUCUGGUUUUCUUGCCUGUAAGAAGCUGUUAAUUGUGGUUGGUCUCUGACUGUACAUUUGCGUGGAUUAGUCUGCCUAUAACGCAGUCCUUAUCUGCUCCUGCUGGAAAUCGGGGCAUGAAGUCAGCCUGCUUUAACAGUUGUUUCUUUCUGCGUGAUGCUAUGCAACUAGAAUGGGUUACACUGACAACAAAGGAACAAGCACAAAGCACCACUUUCUUUGCUGGACUGUUACAGGAACAUAGCUCUUCUUCGAUAUGACACCCUGGUCUCUUCUCUUUGCUGGCUUUUUAUUUUUUUUUAAAUUUAAUUCAUCUAAUCGAAGAGCCUAACAGACACCAUUGUGAAUGUGGCUUUUAAUGAUUUGGAAAAGACAGCCUGUGGAGACUGCGAUUCGAGACAGCAACACAUUUAGGUUAUUGCCAAUUUUAAAUACUUGGUUUGUGAAGCACAGCCCUAAGGGACGAGCUCAGUAACUGAGAAAGAGAUUGUAGAUAAAGAAAUAAAAAUGACAAGCGUAAUGGAAGCUCUGCAAAAGAGACUGUCAGAGAAUCAGUUCAUGGAUGGCAAUUUCACCAGUCUGAAUCUGAAUAAUUCAUAGAUUGAAAUUACCCUGCUUUCACCUUUCCAUUUAAACCGGCAUGAUCUGAAUCUCUAAUAAAUUUUCAAGAUAAAGUAAAAUGCCAAUUUGAAUCUGAAGAGCUUUUAAAACCAGAUGCUACACCCUGAAUCUUUCGAUACCUUUCACAAUUAUCCUGUGAGAACCGCACUUCAUCACGAAGCACCAUUACCAGUGAAAAUUACUGUGAUUACAAUAGCAACAAUAGAAUACCAUCAAAUGAUCUCUAAUCUACCUAAUUUACCAAGGCUGACUGUGUGCCCAUUGUGUUUCACUACGUCUGGCAUUGGAUCAAUAUCACAGUGGAACAAAAAUGCCUUAGUAUGUGCUUCCUUUUGGUACCUUUAACUUUGACAGCACAGGAAAAAAAUCUACCUACUGUAAAAUAUUUUUACAGCCAAUCUACAUGCCUGCUGUAGGACCUGAUUGAUUUUCUAUGAUUUUCUUUACUUCUUGGGUAUCAGAUGUCUUUGUGUUACUAAUUAGUUUAUAAUGUAUACUCAUGCACAAAGACUGCAGCAAGCGAGUGCCAGCACAGGGACCCUGCACUGCUGCUGCAGUUGCAGCGCUCUCACUGGGGAAGCCAAAAUGAGUUCGGUGCCUUAUGUGAAUAAUUACUCCUGUAUGAGUUAGAAAUGCUUUGUAGCAUCACCGGUCUUGGUUGUACUACAUGCAAAAUGUAUGCAAAAGCCAUGGUCAAGAAAAACGAUCGCUUGCAAUACUAACAAGAUUUUCCCCCCUGUUCAGCAAUUAGCAUGUGGUUGUGAGAGACAGGCUGCGACUCCUUCUGUGCGUGUGUGUGUAUGCGUGUGUGUAGGUACACAUGCACAUACAUAAAUGUAAAGCUACUGUGCUCUGUGAAUGAAUAUGUGCUGAUCUCUGAAAGUAACAACUUUCUCUGACAAGCCAGGCACUGUGUUUUGCCGCAAUCUGCUCAGUUGUAACAAAUCCCUCUUUGGAGGCGUAAAUUUCCUAUAGGAUGAUGCAUGACUUCUGAAGCAGUAAGUACCCUUUAUGCAAUAUGUUGGUGCCUAUAGCUAUGCUGCAGAAUAGCAUUUUAAGCAUAGUUUGAGUCCUUGUAGCAUAACUAGAAUGUGAAGAAGUGAGAAACGUGUAAAGAAGGCUAGAAACAGGCAUUCUUCAUGGAGGCGACUGUAUCUGCUGUUUGUUUGUGUGUGAAUUAUAUAAUUCAGGCUUGUUUUUCAUUUUAUAAUCAGAUUUCCUCUGCCUUCAGGGAAUAUUUUCUAAGGGAGGAAGGUAAGCAGUAUUUCAUCUUAUUUCUAUGACUGUGUUGUAUUUGUGUUGAGGGAAAUGCAUGUUUACAGCACAUAGUUAUAUAAUACAGCAUGAUCUCAUGACAUCUAAUUAAAUGUUUCAAUAUUUGUUCACAUUAAAACUGGGUGAGAAAGCAUAUUUAAAAUAUGGAUUUUUAUUGAAAAUACAUUUCUAGAAAUGCUAUGCAAAAAGCAAUUUACAGACUGUGUUUGCAUUCAUGUUUUGCUCUUUACUGUUGUUAAAUAAGUGCCUAUUCUACUGAAAUACUGAUGGCCUUGAAACCUUUGGAUUUAUGUAUUUUGUUUUCUCAAAACACAAUUUACUGUACUUCUAAAUUUUCUGUAUAUUAGUGGAGACUGUUCUCUAGAGGUAGAAGAGGCAAAAGGUUUUACAGCUUGAGCUGUGAUAACAAAGGAACUUGAAAGGGCACAAAAUAUGACUAUACAAAAGUCUCAAAUUUUAAAUUAUUCAGUAAUGUGAUUUAGCAAACUGCUGUUCUUAGACUACACACUCUCAAGUUACUACACUAUCUGGAAAUAUUAAGUCCAUUCAGUGCUGUAUUUAUAUUCUUCAUUUUCAUGUAGUAUUCAAACUUAGCAAAGAAAAAUCUGAGAGCAAAUACCGAAACUUUGGUAAAAGUGUAAAACCUACAUUAUGUUACUUUGGUAAUAAAAUCAAGAGAUUUAGACUGAGCUUUGCUGAAGAGAACUAGGCAUUGUGGUUUAACUAUUUUAUGAAAAGUGUUUUAUGUUUUCAUGUACAGAAAUAUAACAUAUACUGCUUUAGCUAUUGUACUGCAAGGACCAUGCAAACAGGAAUGUGAAUGUUUUGCAAAAUACCAUACAAGUACCUGGCAGCAUUUACAGUAUUAUUAUUACUGCCACAGUAUUCCAGUAUCAUAUGCUACAUUGAAAUCACUGGUCUGUUAACCAGUUGGAUUUCAUGGAGUUUUUACAAUCCUAAUUUUUUUAUCUGUCCUAUCUGCUGCGACAGCCUGUGGAAAGUAGCUGGCCUUGGGGUACAAGGUGUCCUCACUAACAAGUGCAGAGCAGAGCUAAAGGAGAGUUUACAAGUUAUUGGUGGGCUUAAUGUAAGGGCCCAAUUCGAAUCCUUCUGUGGAGCCAUGUUGGAGUCGUCUAACUUUGUGUUUCUGUUACUGAAACAAAUAGUUUAAGCUUGCCCCUGGCUUUCUCUCACUGCUCCAUACUGGCCUCACAUUUCCAAACAUGCAGUGCUGGUCAGGCCUAAUGCUGUUUGCCAGUGUGAGCCCCUGCAGUAGUUGCCAGAAGCUGUUAGGACAGCACAAUCAGAUGGCAAGAGUAUCUGUGAGACUCUGCUAAAAGUACUCUGGAAAAGUUUGGAAACAUUGGGAAGUGAACUCUGCCUUUUGGGGUGGUGUGUGUUUCAAAGGCAGCAGGACUGCAGUCUGUCAGCAGGAUAUGCUGCACAUACAAAUGGAAAAAAAGCCUUUAAACCUUUUCAGACACAGGAUUGCGAAGAGAAUCUUAGCACUAUUACCUCAUAGAAAGUAUUAAAAUGCAGUCAUAUCAUCCAUGUGUUUUCUGAUAUGGCUACAGCCAAUCACGUAGCUACAGCUGACCUAUACAGUUUAGGAUAUAUAAUUAUAUGUGUCAAAAUAAAUGGCAGACUGCAACACGAAUCUUCUAAUUUAAGGCCACUAAUUUCAGAAAUAGAGAUUCAACAGUUAAUAUACAUCAUAUCGAAAGAUGAUACAUGAAAAACAUACUGGAGCCCAUUCUACUACCACAGAAUUUAAUAACAAGUCUCCCUGUGCCAUCAACAUAAAAGAUAGAUGCACUAAUUUCCUUCCAUUACAUCCUUCUUGUGAAAGUUGCUACUAUUUUGUUGGGUUUUGUUCUCCUUGGUUACAAGAGUUCUGUAUAGUCGACACAACGUUGAACAGAAGAUCCUUUCUGUUCACCAGGACUCAAAACCUGAGCUAAACAUACACUGAAAUCAACAUCUCAGAAUAGGUUUAUUUGACAGCUGCAGGGACCUUUUGUCUGUAGUUUUGUUGAUUAUAUUUGUGCUCACUUGCUUGUUAAUUCUGCAUGAUCACCUGCUAUAAAACACAAGUUCUGAUCUGUAAUGGUUGUAUCUAUUUGGACAAAAGCCCUGAGGAUAGGAGGGUCUGUUGUGGGUUUCAUUGUUUUGUGGGUUUUUUUCACUGUACUGUUGUUUUGAAUUAAUUGCAACUGCCUAUGGAAAUAUGAUCCCUUAAGAAUGUAGAGAAAUGCAUUAUUAAUGAUUAUGUAUGAAGAAUUGCUAGAUUCUCCUGCACUCUGGUUGCUAUGAAUUUCACACCAUUAUUCCCAAAGAAAAACAUUAGGAAGAAAGCAAGACCAAUGUAACUUGGAAUGAAAAGAGCAGCAUUUCCAAACCAAUCAUUUUUGACACAGGAAAUUCAGAGUUAAACAGAAGAAAAUCCAAAUGGUUCAUUGACGCAAUUAAAAUACCUGAGCAGCUCACUUCCUCUUUGAUGCCAUGUGAUAACUCCAGGAUGUGAUAGAGCAGUCACAGCAACUGGCUGCCCCUCUGACCUGCAGGAGCUGGAGUGCACCCUUUCCUCUGCCACAGAACUUGAUGCUAGAUUUGGAGAGGUCCUUUCAUCUUCCACUAUAGCAGUAGCCUAGGGCUCUUGGCAGGCUCUCUGGACUCUGCUGCUGAGGAACUGCUUUCAAAGUCCUAAAGAAGACACUGAAAGAGAUAUAAAGGUGCAUUGUAGUCCAGUGUCACUAGGAGCUAAAGGCACAAAACAUCUCAAAAGACUGGGCUCUCACUCACAUGCCUUUGGACCUCAUCUCUCGAAGCAGACUGGACAAGGACCAGCUUGGUGACUAAGAUCCAGACCCCAGCAGAUGAGGAGGGAUGGCCAGACAGAAACACUGGCAUUUCUAAGAGACAAAAUGUGGUCACCUAAAGCUCUAGGCCUAGACAGAUACACUUCCCACACUAAGAAUAUCUGAAUCAACAUGCGCAUAGGGAAUGCUCUCUCUCCAGAUCCAUCUUUGACUACAAGUUUUAAUUUCUGCUGGAACAUAAAGGGUGCUCUCAUCAAGUUUAAGAACAUUUAAGAAUGUCUUUCUCAGUUUACAGGUAACCUGAAGCCAGAGUGGUUACAGGAUCCCACACCUUAGCAGAGGAUUAUUUCUGCACAUGUUUCGAGACAGCUCAGUACUAAAAACUUACAAGGGGAGGAAAAAAAAUUAUGAUCCUGCAAAAAUUUGCUUGGGUCUUGUCCUGAAAAAGUAUGCUUGAGGUUGCUCAAAAAAACACAGAUUCCUUGAAGGUUUCAAAGAUUUCUUAAAGCCCUCAAUGAGCACAAGCAAAUUGAUUGGGAUAAAAGUAGGUCUCAAGUCUUUGCCUGUCUAGACAUAAAGCCUCUUUCACUAAAAUGAAGCAUGAGGGAAGACAAGAGAGUCUCAUAAAACAAGAAUUUCAUUCAUUUGUGCAUUACUAUAAUUAUACUACUGUCUUAAAUGCUCUCAGGUUGAUGGUCCUUGUGACCUUCCCAGUAUGUUUCAAAAAGGGGGACAGUGCAACCUUGCAAAAUCUGAAACAGAACUGAGCCCUCCCUGAACCUUAUUGGCUCCUUUAUAGCCUUCUACUUGUAUUUGACAGUGUAGGACACAUUCCAAAGAAAAUGAGCAUAGUUCCUAUGUCCUGUUCACCUACUGCUGUUGUAACGCCUUGAUGUAAAAGCUAAUAACAAAAUAGAGGGUGCAUUUUGUUAGCAGGCCCAACCCAAUAACCAUGCUAAUGAUAGCGCAGUUAUACUUGGGAUGCAAGUUUUCAUUUAAGUACAUCUCCCCUGGCAUCUCCAGUAUGUGAUUUUUGAAAAAAAAAAGUAUUUUUUCAACUUUUAAUUUCCUCCAGAAGCAUAUAAUCAUUCAAUACCUUUUCCUCUCCUUCAGGUUAGCUUUCAUCACCUCAGAUACAGCUACAAGUACUUAUUUGAAGUUUUCUUGCCUGCUGAACUGCCAGAGCCUUUCAGAGUACAUUUCAGAAAUCCUUACACAGUGUGAAUUACUCGGGAUUCACCCACUUCUGCAGAUCUAUAACAAGGCACAGCAGCUGAGAGCCCACCCAGAACAUUCCAUGUUGGCUGACACAGCAAAAUUGGAAAUCCAGCCUGACAAAGCAGUUUUCAGUGAGCUCAUUGCACAUGAGACUGUCAAUUGACCAUUAACUGAGCUUUCCAUGCACCAACCUCUACCAAAAGGGAGAGAGAAAAGAGAAGCAAUGGUGCAGGGUUUGCAGUCCCCCUUUCCUGCAGCCCUUUUCUCACAGGGGGUUUUCUAGGAUCUACACAGUACAGCGACGAAGUGAGGCCAGGAAGCUGUGGGACCUGCAGCUUUCAUUUUCAUGGAUCGUUUUCAGUACAAGCCUCAGCUGAAACCUGUUCCCUUUUUCCCAUACACUCAAGAAAAUAUCCCUGAUGGUACAUGCUUCUUCUACAAUUCUUCACAGUGAGACUUAAAUUGCUCACCUCUAGUUGUCCCACCUAAACUUUCUUUCACUCCAAUUUCUAGGUCAAAUAACUGCGUCAAGUAAUUUAAACUUUAUAAUUCAUAGGAAACGCUUUGCUUUGAACUAAAAUGAAUUUUUUUUUUUUGCAUUUUCAACCACUGAAAUAAAACUGCAGUCAUUUAGCAAACAUCAUAACCUGAAGUUAGCCAGCAAUUUCUUUCAUGACAUACACUGAGAGAGAAUUUUGCUUUUGUAAUGCAAUUCCCUAAUGAUCCAUAGUGAACACAAUAGGUUGCUUUCUGUAUAAACUUGAGAAAAAUACAAAAGGUAUUUUGUUAUUGUAUGAGAUAUGUAAACAUGAAAAAGUUUCCUGUUGUUUUAAGGAAUGACUUCUGUAAGCAGUUAUCCAUAGUACAUCGAAAUUAAAUAGCCACAUUAGAAGGAAGAGAAGCCAUUUUGUAUUCAGUCAUUAAACAGAAUCAGGAACAGUUGCUAAAAUAAUGUAUCCCCAUUAUUCAUUACUAUUAUGCUUCACUUGUAGGAAUAGAUACCUGAUAAGAAUUGUACCAGAACUAAAGCUGCUAAUGAAUGAUUAAAGACUAGGCAGCAGAUGUGAAGGGCAAGUAGAACAAGAAUACCUCAUUCCUUUUUUUUCCUGAGUACACUUAUGUGUUCUCCGUCAUUCUCUUCUACUAAGUUUUGGUUUCAGAUCUCUACCAUAUAAUGGGCUGAACUAGGAUGGGAUUUGGACUCUUUCCAACCUUCCGGAAAGCUGUCUUUCUUAAACUGUGACAAAAUAAUCAAAAACUUGACAAAUUUUAUUAACUACUACUACUACUACUAUUAAUGUCCUAAAUGUCAAUAGAAAUACUUCAUUUAGAUGAUUUUCAAAGCAUUUCAACUAUACUUAUGUCUUAUAACUAAAAGCCAUUUUAGGGAAAACCAAAAUUUUUAAUUUGAUAUGUCAAAAUCUUGCUUUAUAAAAAACUAAUUUUUCAUGGCCUUGAAAUCUGAUUUGACCUACUUCUGACAAAGUUUUGGCUAAGAAAAAUAGAGGCAUUUUUGGAUGAAACUCAUUUUGUCAAAAAGCUCCAAGCUAACUUUGCUGUCUGUGACAGUCUGUACAAAUAUCACAAGAAACUUCUGGUAUACGCAACGGCUUAAUCAGCUGGAACUUGAAUAACACGCAGACACGUAUCUAACUGAUCCCCAGCUGACUAGGAAAUCUGUGUCCCAUAUGCUGUUUAAAAAGGGAGGUCGUAAAAUUUAAUUAGACAGGAGAAAGAAUUGGAGCUUGGUUUCCUGGGAUCUUUGUUUAUUUGUUUGUUUUUAAAAUCAUCAUUCAAUGUUUAAAAAAAUUUAUAUGCCUAUUCAAACUCCAUAUAUUCACCUAAUCCACAGAUUUCUCCUGCUUACAAGGUUUGUCAUGUACUACCUAAAUUCACUGAGAAUUUUAUUUGCAUCCCAAGAAUUCAGGUCACAGAGAAACCACCUUGAGAACCCAGGAGAUGAGUAAACCCAUUAUGGACACACAUGCUAGAUUGCCUGGGAAAUUAGCAUGCAGUCAUUUAUACCACAAAUGAAUGCUUCACCAAAUCAGUGUCUUUCAGUCAUAGCUGUCAGCAGACUCCUCGUUUUCUUCUUCUUCCUAGUGAAACGGCUCAGGUUUAGGUAGCAAAUCAAAACUCCCUGACUCUUCAUAGGUAAAUUUGCACAGAUCUUUCGUAAAAAGCUCACAGACCUCCUGAAUCUAUGGACUACAUGGAGAAAGCAGCACUAGCACCAGUGCUACAAACUUCUUUCCACAUAGAAACUCUUCACAAUGCACAAAGACUGUGAAGUACCUUUACACUGCUUUCAAAAAAAUCCAUCUAUUUCUAGUGCAGCGACUUUCUGGUUACAAACACAGACCUGUGUUUCUAAGUGACCUGUCCAAGUGACAACGGGAGAUCUUUGGGUUAUGAUUAGAAAGCAGAUUGAUUAUCUAGUCACAUAGUCCUGUGUUUUCUGGUUCCAAUUCCGGGGAUUUUACCCAACCACAUUGAGAAAAUUUUCCUCCUGCUCAAUGAAGAAUUGUGCUGGUGGUGCAAAAUAGAAAUGUUGCUACGUUUCUUGGGCAUAAUGAAGUGCUCGUGGCACCAGCAGAGACUUCGACUUUAUACUUAAGCCUUAUUAAGGCUUAGUUAGCUUUUAGGGUGGUAGGAGAGCAAGCAAAGAGCCUGAUGUGCUCUGCCAGAGCAGCUUUAUCAAGCCCUGCAGUGGCAGUCCAGGGGAUUACCAGCUGCAGCUGCCUGCCCUCAGCAGGGCGGGAUGCCAGCCCUCAGCUGCUCCCCUUGCUCUCGUGACUGCAGAACGUGUACAAACACAGUUGGGUCUCCUCAUGUCAUCUGCACUUAAAAAGCAAGAGGAAAAUGCAGGGCCUGGAAAAGACCAUCUCCCUGAUGGCAGGGCACAAACAGCUAGCUGUCCUCUAGCAAAUCUAACCACAGUCAUCCCUGCCCUGAACCGGGUGUGAGAGUCAGUUCAGGCUAAAAAUAAUCAGAUCGUUUUGAGGAGUGUGGCAGGGCAGGAUCCGGGUUGUUGGCCCCAUAAACAAUUUUACAAGAGCUAAAGGAGGGCAUAGGCUGGGAAUGAGCAGCUGGGGGCUGUUAAGAUGUCAUUGUCAGUGAAGGGCACCGCUUCCCUGAAUUUUCACUGUAACAGAGCUCGAGUGUUCAGAUAAUCAGCCACGACAUCUGAGAUAUGGGAGCAGAUGGGCCAAUACCUGCUUAGAGUGCUCUAGUUUGAGUCACUGAAAAGGACAUCUGUCUCUGCUCUCAGGCUGGGUGCCUCAGUGACCCCACUGCAGCUGGGGAGCAUCUUCUGUGUGUUUAUGAGUGGGUAUUUCUCAGAAGCCUGUACUCUGAGUGCUAUUUUGAAUGAAUUUUCACAAGGCAGCCAAAACCCCUCCUGCUGUUAAAAUGUACUGAAUAUUGAGCCCUCGUUGCAACACAUGAAGGUACCACAGCUCCCCAGAGCAACAGCUGCAAGAAUGUUUUUAAGAUGCCAAGCCCAGCAACCUUUUCCCUUAGCCUUGUUCAACAAAAUAAUACAGUAUCUGAAACUUUUCACUCUGAGGCACACAAGUUUUUGAGACUUCAGCCUUCAGAAUGAGAAUUUAGGAUAGUUAGUGACAUCUGAAAGUUGAAUUUCAGAAGACAAAUACUGGACACCUGUGGCUACAUUAUCCUUAAAUCUAAAAACUUGCCCUGUCUUUUUCCUUGUAUCAAACUCCAGGCCCAUCACGUUUUUGUCAGUAACACUUGGGCCAGCAUACAACACUAAAAGCAUAUAGAAGUGACUAAUAUGAAAGGGCUGAGUAAAAGGCACUAAAAAACUAAACCAGAAAUAAAUCAUUGCUUAAGGAUUAUUGUUUUAUUUGCUUGUCAUUAAACAUCUGUUCAUAGGCACUGCAAGCGUUCCACUUUGUGCCUGGGCUUAAUAGUGUCAACUUUGCAGAGAUGCCUUCUUCCUCCUCAUUGUUUUCACUUGGUUUCUAGGGCAAACAAAACCCUCUUUUUUUUUUUUUUUAAGUCCUUUAAUAAAUUAAAGCUGUUAUAGAGACAGAAGUAAAUAACUGCACAGUAUGGAAAUUUUUAUCCAGCAAGCCUCAGAGCAUAACAAAGGUCACUAUAUGCACUGUAUCAAACUCUUUCUUGCUCCCUUUGUGCACCCCACUCCACAUCACCCCAGUAAUCCCCAGAACUCUGUGGUGACUGAGUAGAAUUUGAAGUCAAGUUUUGUCCUGAAAAAAUGUAGAGCUAGCCCUCCUCUUCCUCCCCUCUCCCUGUCAUCUGCUGACGUUUCCAGAUGACAGUGUACUGAAUCCGAACUGUUUCUUUUGCUGGGAAUGCCAUCUGUGAGGUGGCAGCUGGGGUGGGAGGGAAGGCACAUAGCAAAUGAACAGUGAUAAAUAUAGACAGUAGACUAAAUUAGGGGAAGUUCCACUUCUUUCCAGUGUUAUGGAUCUUUGCACGCUUCCAUUAAGUGGAUACAGCUUCUCUUUAACUGGUGUUUGAACAUCUGGGUUGUUUAGCAAGAGAGCAAAGUCGAAAUAUUGGAAUAGAGAUGUCAAACAAGCCAGUUUGGGAAAAAUGCAAAAACUACUGAAAUUUUCUAAGUCAUUUAUGGUUCCACUCCAUUUCUAUCAUGUUACACUAUCCUGGAACUAGCAAGAUGAGUGUACAUAUUGUCAAAAGGAAUAUGUCAUAAAUCAUCCAAAAUGAAAAAUCAGUGAACAUCUGAAGGUCAUACUUCUUGCAGAGAAAAGAUAACACCAAUGACCAGAUCAUUGACAACUGAACAUGAAUUCUACAAAAAAAAUGGUGGCAUAACAUUUUAAUUUCUCAUUUUAAUAUUCAAAAGAUUACAUUUGAAUCACCUUUUUUGCUGCAUCACAGAAAGAAUAACUCAAUAAUUAAAACCCCAUAUUAAGGCAUUGAGUUCUGUAAAUAAGAUGAUGGCAGAGGAAAUUCUAGACACUAAAAUUUUGUUCAUAUCUCUUCCCUAGAAGAUUGCUAACAGCAUCAUGCCUACACAGAGACACAGAAGGCUAAGGUGGGAAGGGACCUCUGGAGAUCUUCAGGUCCAACCCCUCUCAAAGCAGGGUCCAAAAGGUAGCAGGUUGCUCAGGGCCAUAUUCAGUUGCAUACUGAACUCUCUCCAAAGACACAGACUCCACUUCCUAUUUGACUCAGUGUUUGAUUACCCCCACGGGACAAAAGUUUCUUCUUCUGUUUAAUGGAAUUCCCUUUGUUUCAAUUUGUGCCCACUGCCUCUUACCCUUCCCUGGAUACCAGUGAGAAGAGACCAGUUGUGUCUUCUUUGCACCCUCCUGUAUUUAUAGGCAUGGAUAAGAUCCCACCUAAGCCAUCUCUUCUCAAGGAUAACAUAUUAAUAAAUAUUAGUAAAACAUUAAUAAAAUAUGUAAAUAUAUACGUUUACUUUGGAAUCACUUCAGGAAUAUCUGCCCUGAUUUAUCCAUGGUUUUCACACUGAAUUCAGCUUCCAAGAUACCUUUUAGGCACGUGCCAUUGUUGUUAGGAGUUUUAUGAACUGGAGAAGGAGACAUUAUUUCAGCAACGUUGUAUCCUUUCCAACUAAAUAUACUAUACCUAGGUAAGUAAUUUGGUAAGACAUUCUUCUCUUCCUUUCAGUGUUCAAUUAGAGCAUUUCAACUUUUUUUAUCUCACUCCUGGGGUUUUUCUAAAGUUCAUUAAUUUUAACAGCAACCAAUCCCAAGAAGUAAGCUCAGGCCUUGAACAGCUCUACAGCCUACAGCUGCACUACACCAGGAGGAACUAAACCACACAGAAGCCUUUUAGUGCAUUUUAAUUUACGGAAGUUGGAUUCACAUCCCAAAUUCACUUGUUUUACCUUAACUUUCUUGGCUGACUUUAUUUAGCAUUGCCUGGAAGUAAAGGUCCUAUACUCAGUGCUGCAGUUCUACAUACACAAGACUUGAAGAGAAGGAAAGGAUAUGUCAUACCAGCAAACAAACUUAGCUGAUGUUGGUUCGCUUCAGCAGAAUCUGUGUAAUCAAAAGUGUAAAACUACAUACACAUGUAGUUGUAAUAAGCUUGUCACUCUAUCCACUCUUCAGAUUUCCUAAAAAUGCAGUCCACUGUGGCAGUAAUAUUUACCUGUAGUGCAAGAUAAGACUUUUUCUGUUACGAUAAUGCACAGACAUCUUAUAUCUUCAUUUAGGCAUCAGAUCUUUUAAAGCUGAUACCCCAUGCUGAUAAACAGGGUUCUCAAUGGACAGCAUGAAGUUCAUAUCACCAGCAGUACAUAUCUCCUCUGGGUGUGGGAAACCACACAGUAGCUACCUGUAUAGGUUGCAGUUCCAUGUUUCCCCUUCAGGUGACAAGCCAGCUCCCUCCUCCCUGCUGGUAGAGCUGUCCUCACUUUAUCCUUGCACCACUGAGUGACAUUUCUGCAUGGUUGCCCACCAAAAAACCACAAGGUGUCUGCUGCUGGGUUGGAUUCCUGAUGCCUUACCACACCGAAACACUUCAGUGACCGUGGUCAGCCAGCACCCAGCCAAGCCACAGCGUCAAGAGCUGACUGUCUUUGCACUCUGAAUGACACUCUUGGAACUUUCCAAAGGUAUUGGGAAAGUGAGCAGAAGUGUUCUGGUUUAAAAAUGGGUCCCCAAUGCUCAGAGAACCAGCUGAAACAAGGGGACAUGCUACUAACUGAGCCAAUUGCAAGCAUCAGUCAUAUUCUAAACAUGUAUUAUUAUGUGUAAUCGUCCUCUACAGUGUCCAUGAUGGAUUGGUAAACAAAGGUGAGCUAACAUGCAUCACAUGAAAAUUAAGAAUAGUCCACACCUCCAGUUUUCAAUGGGGGAUAUAUUACAACCAUUCUGAUAACUCCUGUGGGUUCACUUUCUGGCCUUGGUGGAGCAGUUUUCUUUGUCCUUCUCGGUUUACCUUAAAAUCUUUCAGUUUGAUUAAGAACUUACAAUUUUUCUUGAGGAAGAACCUGGAACCAGAGGUCAUCUGCAAUAAAUUCAGAAAAGGUUUUUCACCACUUCCAGUGAGUGGCUCACAGAACAGUAAAGAAAGCACAAGCAGAUUAUUAUGAUAUUUUAAGAAUAUUCAAUCCCAUUGCUUUGCAUAAAAUUCUACAGAAAUUCUUAAGGUGUCAAGUAAGCAUCUGAAUUGUAUUUAAAUAAAAUUAACCUUACAAAA